rnacentral:tRNA from 1 species
GCCCAGGUGGCUUAGUGGGUUAAGUGUCCGACUUCAGAUCAGGUCACAAUCUCGAGGUCUGUAGGUAUAAGCCCCGCUUUGGGCU